rnacentral:rRNA from 1 species
UUAAGCGACUAAGCGUACACGGUGGAUGCCCUGGCAGUCAGAGGCGAUGAAGGACGUGCUAAUCUGCGAUAAGCGUCGGUAAGGUGAUAUGAACCGUUAUAACCGGCGAUUUCCGAAUGGGGAAACCCAGUGUGUUUCGACACACUAUCAUUAACUGAAUCCAUAGGUUAAUGAGGCGAACCGGGGGAACUGAAACAUCUAAGUACCCCGAGGAAAAGAAAUCAACCGAGAUUCCCCCAGUAGCGGCGAGCGAACGGGGAGCAGCCCAGAGCCUGAAUCAGUGUGUGUGUUAGUGGAAGCGUCUGGAAAGGCGCGCGAUACAGGGUGACAGCCCCGUACACAAAAAUGCACAUGCUGUGAGCUCGAUGAGUAGGGCGGGACACGUGGUAUCCUGUCUGAAUAUGGGGGGACCAUCCUCCAAGGCUAAAUACUCCUGACUGACCGAUAGUGAACCAGUACCGUGAGGGAAAGGCGAAAAGAACCCCGGCGAGGGGAGUGAAAAAGAACCUGAAACCGUGUACGUACAAGCAGUGGGAGCACGCUUAGGCGUGUGACUGCGUACCUUUUGUAUAAUGGGUCAGCGACUUAUAUUCUGUAGCAAGGUUAACCGAAUAGGGGAGCCGAAGGGAAACCGAGUCUUAACUGGGCGUUAAGUUGCAGGGUAUAGACCCGAAACCCGGUGAUCUAGCCAUGGGCAGGUUGAAGGUUGGGUAACACUAACUGGAGGACCGAACCGACUAAUGUUGAAAAAUUAGCGGAUGACUUGUGGCUGGGGGUGAAAGGCCAAUCAAACCGGGAGAUAGCUGGUUCUCCCCGAAAGCUAUUUAGGUAGCGCCUCGUGAAUUCAUCUCCGGGGGUAGGAGCACUGUUUCGGCAAGGGGGUCAUCCCGACUUACCAACCCGAUGCAAACUGCGAAUACCGGAGAAUGUUAUCACGGGAGACACACGGCGGGUGCUAACGUCCGUCGUGAAGAGGGAAACAACCCAGACCGCCAGCUAAGGUCCCAAAGUCAUGGUUAAGUGGGAAACGAUGUGGGAAGGCCCAGACAGCCAGGAUGUUGGCUUAGAAGCAGCCAUCAUUUAAAGAAAGCGUAAUAGCUCACUGGUCGAGUCGGCCUGCGCGGAAGAUGUAACGGGGCUAAACCAUGCACCGAAGCUGCGGCAGCGACGCUUAUGCGUUGUUGGGUAGGGGAGCGUUCUGUAAGCCUGCGAAGGUGUGCUGUGAGGCAUGCUGGAGGUAUCAGAAGUGCGAAUGCUGACAUAAGUAACGAUAAAGCGGGUGAAAGGCCCGCUCGCCGGAAGACCAAGGGUUCCUGUCCAACGUUAAUCGGGGCAGGGUGAGUCGACCCCUAAGGCGAGGCCGAAAGGCGUAGUCGAUGGGAAACAGGUUAAUAUUCCUGUACUUGGUGUUACUGCGAAGGGGGGACGGAGAAGGCUAUGUUGGCCGGGCGACGGUUGUCCCGGUUUAAGCGUGUAGGCUGGUUUUCCAGGCAAAUCCGGAAAAUCAAGGCUGAGGCGUGAUGACGAGGCACUACGGUGCUGAAGCAACAAAUGCCCUGCUUCCAGGAAAAGCCUCUAAGCAUCAGGUAACAUCAAAUCGUACCCCAAACCGACACAGGUGGUCAGGUAGAGAAUACCAAGGCGCUUGAGAGAACUCGGGUGAAGGAACUAGGCAAAAUGGUGCCGUAACUUCGGGAGAAGGCACGCUGAUAUGUAGGUGAAGUCCCUCGCGGAUGGAGCUGAAAUCAGUCGAAGAUACCAGCUGGCUGCAACUGUUUAUUAAAAACACAGCACUGUGCAAACACGAAAGUGGACGUAUACGGUGUGACGCCUGCCCGGUGCCGGAAGGUUAAUUGAUGGGGUUAGCGCAAGCGAAGCUCUUGAUCGAAGCCCCGGUAAACGGCGGCCGUAACUAUAACGGUCCUAAGGUAGCGAAAUUCCUUGUCGGGUAAGUUCCGACCUGCACGAAUGGCGUAAUGAUGGCCAGGCUGUCUCCACCCGAGACUCAGUGAAAUUGAACUCGCUGUGAAGAUGCAGUGUACCCGCGGCAAGACGGAAAGACCCCGUGAACCUUUACUAUAGCUUGACACUGAACAUUGAGCCUUGAUGUGUAGGAUAGGUGGGAGGCUUUGAAGUGUGGACGCCAGUCUGCAUGGAGCCGACCUUGAAAUACCACCCUUUAAUGUUUGAUGUUCUAACGUUGACCCGUAAUCCGGGUUGCGGACAGUGUCUGGUGGGUAGUUUGACUGGGGCGGUCUCCUCCUAAAGAGUAACGGAGGAGCACGAAGGUUGGCUAAUCCUGGUCGGACAUCAGGAGGUUAGUGCAAUGGCAUAAGCCAGCUUGACUGCGAGCGUGACGGCGCGAGCAGGUGCGAAAGCAGGUCAUAGUGAUCCGGUGGUUCUGAAUGGAAGGGCCAUCGCUCAACGGAUAAAAGGUACUCCGGGGAUAACAGGCUGAUACCGCCCAAGAGUUCAUAUCGACGGCGGUGUUUGGCACCUCGAUGUCGGCUCAUCACAUCCUGGGGCUGAAGUAGGUCCCAAGGGUAUGGCUGUUCGCCAUUUAAAGUGGUACGCGAGCUGGGUUUAGAACGUCGUGAGACAGUUCGGUCCCUAUCUGCCGUGGGCGCUGGAGAACUGAGGGGGGGCUGCUCCUAGUACGAGAGGACCGGAGUGGACGCAUCACUGGUGUUCGGGUUGUCAUGCCAAUGGCACUGCCCGGUAGCUAAAUGCGGAAGAGAUAAGUGCUGAAAGCAUCUAAGCACGAAACUUGCCCCGAGAUGAGUUCUCCCUGACUCCUUGAGAGUCCUGAAGGAACGUUGAAGACGACGACGUUGAUAGGCCGGGUGUGUAAGCGCAGCGAUGCGUUGAGCUAACCGGUACUAAUGAACCGUGAGGCUUAACCUU